UGCGCGCUACCUUAACCACACCUGACACCUCACCCCUUCCGACCUUCCCCCUUCUCUCGCGCCUCUUCCUCUGCUACGCGGAUCGCACCUUUGACGGCGGCGCAUCAAGUCCCCACGACUGCCUCUUCCUCUCCAACGUGGAUAGCAACCACGACGGCGAUACAUGAGCUUCCCCACGCUCGUCGCGGCCCUCUCGCGCGCAGGCUCCAGAGGCACGCACAGCGCCUGCGCCAGUGGCUGGAACGCUGGAUCCCUGUGGAACCACAACGGCCAGCGUAGUCCCGCCGCCACCGUCUAAGGAGCGCAACGGCCACGAAUCCAAUCCAGAUCCACAGGAAGAUUGUUCUGUCCUUUGAAGUUGUGCAAUAAAUUUCGAGAUCCAGGUUCUUCGUUAGAUUGACAUGUUGAUUUGGAGUUUAACAUGCAUCUAGGUCGGGCUCUUGGCAGGUGACUAUGAACUUGGAGAAUGAAGCUUCAUACAAGAGCGUGGUGAUGACCUCUAGCUUGGUAGUUCUGGUUUGAAGUUUAUUGGUCGAGGCCGACGUUUAUUGUUCCUGAAUGAAGGUCUACUUGGAUCCUAAGCAUCGUAUUGGCUAUAUUCACAACUGUGGUAGGUUGUCUAUCUCUUCUCCAAUUUUGAAAGCAUAUAAGUAUUACUUCUUAAUCAAAGAAAAUGAGCAUACAUGUGUUGUUUCUUGGACUUGAUUUUCUAUCUUGAGUUGGACAAUAAGAUGUUUUAUUUAAACUGUAAUUGUACAAUAAGAUGUUGAUUGUAAGUCCCGCCUAUUAAUUCAUAAUGAGGUCUCGAAUUUCUGUUUUGUCACUUGAUGGGUGAUGUACAACGCUUCUUGUAUGGGAUUGCAUGCAUGUCGGCAAGUGAGCAGGAAGUAUGCAACAAUUUCUUUGCGUCAGUCUCAUCUCAAUGAUGUUCGUAUUUUUAUUAUCAUAUGCAAGGUUGUCAGAAUCACGAUUUUGAAUCGGAUCGGAGCUCCGAUGGUAGGAUCGCAAAUCGUAGAAUCUUCACUAUCAGGAUCGUAUAAAUGUAGAUUCUAUGAACUAGAAUCGUAGAAUCAAAGGGGUUAGUUUGGACCGUAAAGUCGUAGAAUUGUAUAAAAGAAUCGCGAUUCUGGCAACCUUGAUUAUAUGCACAUUUUGUCUUUAUUUUCUCCAUUCUUUCUUUGCUGAACCAAAUAGUCUAAACAUAUUGUUGAACAUGCUUUGGUUGAAACAUCAAACAAGACUAUUCAUUACAAAGUUACGGAUGGACUCGAUUGAUAUGGAGGCUCAGAUGAGAACAUUAUUUCUAAGAAGGAUCAAAUUAUGAGUCAUAGUUUUUGUAUUAGCUUUUCCGUGCUUUCCUUUUGCUAAUACCCCGCUACUCAGGAUUUGAAGAGCAUGAUGAUUUGCAUGCAUCUUCCCAUUAGGUGUCGCAAGGUAUUAGUGAGGUUCCACAUCAAAGGUGCAGAGGAUAUUGUUAUAUCGUUUCACACUGAUAUCUCAUAAGAUUUCCACAUUACUUAUUUUGUAUUUGCCUUGCAAUUUUGCAAAUCUACCACAAGUAAGAAGAAAAAUCAGGUUACGGCAGCAAUGAUUCUCACAACCGUUAUUCAAUUGUGCAUUUCCUUAUUUUGCUCACACUUUUGCUACUCACGGUUUGAUGAGCAUGAUGGCUUGCAGGAUUCCUUUUAGGUGUUGCAAGAUAUUGAUGAUGUUUCACUUCCAUCGUUGCAGAACAUAUGGCUCCUUUGAGAUUGAUCUUCCAUUGUAAUUUAAAAACUAUGUGUUGGUUGGCACAACUUAUCUUUAUGGGCUAUGCCUUUAGAAACACUUGAUUCACUUUAUGAACCGGUGAUCAGUUAUCACUUUCUUUCUAAUACUUUGUUUCUUUCAUCAUAUAUAUGAUGUUACUAUUAGUUA